GCUUCUCCGUCUGCACCGUCUAUGCUCCGUCAGAUGGGUGUAUUCCUGAGCUGGAGACCUGAAUGUGCAGUUGAUGAAGCCAAUGGCUGUUUGUUUUCUACACCAGACUGGACCUGAUUAAACUGUGCAGUGUGAGAGCGAGCUUCGUGUGCCAGAGUCUUCUUCCCUGCACUACAAAUUAGAGAGGACAGUCCCAUCAUCAUCAUCUCACGAAGUAGUGAAACACAAGGCGUUGCAGCAGCUUCGAUCUCCAACAUAUUUUCUUGUUGCUUCACUUCUGUUUAUUAAAGACGUAUGGAAACUA